CCAUUACUGUGACUUGUUGUCUGAAACAGUGACUGAAGAUGGCAUCUCCCGCCUGUAUGAAGCUUUUCAGGAAGUGCCUUUGACAUGUGACAGGACCACAGGGCACAUCCUCAAUAGACAUUACAAAUGGCUGCAGAAGCUUGGAAAUCUCGUGUCGGGUUCCGCAUUCGACUAGGGAACCGGGACCGACACAGAAGACCUCUUUGUCCUGCUAUGACAUCUAGAGGCUAACAGGAGCCAACCAAGCCCACCACUGAUCACAUCUCUUGGGAGACGGCAAAGCAGCUGCUGCAUGGGAAGGAGGAGAGAGAAGAGGCAGAGCAGGAUGUGCCGGGGUGCACCAGUCACACAUAACCUCACAGUCUAGGCGGCGGAAGCCAAGCCCCUCCCCAGCCCUGCCGGACAUGCUACAACUGGAGCACCA